ACGCUCGACACCUACGGGGAGGCAGCAGUCGGGAAUAUUGCGCAAUGGAGGAAACUCUGACGCAGUGACGCCGCGUGCAGGAAGAAGGUUUUCGGAUUGUAAACUGCUUUAGACAGGGAAGAAAGAAAUGACAGUACCUGUAGAAUAAGCUCCGGCUAACUACGUGCCACAGCCGCGGUAAUCUGAGGCGGGCGUGGACGAAGGC
rnacentral:rRNA from 1 species